rnacentral:rRNA from 1 species
AACGAACGCUGGCGGCAUGCCUAACACAUGCAAGUCGAACGCCCCGCAAGGGGAGUGGCGGACGGGUGAGUAACGCGUGGGAACCUGCACUUCAGUGGGGGAUAACGACGGGAAACUGUCGCUAAUACCGCAUACGCCCUACGGGGGAAAGAUUUAUCGCUGAAGGAUGGGCCCGCGUCGGCUUAGCUAGUUGGUGAGGUAACGGCUCACCAAGGCGACGAUCCGUAGCUGGUCUAAGAGGAUAGUCAGCAACACUGGGACUGAGACACGGCCCAGACUCAUACGGGAGGCAGCAGUGGGGAAUAGUGGGUAAUGGAGGAACACCUGAGCCAGCAAUGCCGCGUGAAUGAUGAAGGCCUUAGGUUUGUAAAGCUCUUUCGAUGGUGACGAUGAUGACGGUAACCACAGAAGAAGCCCCGGCUAACUUCGUGCCAGCAGCCGCCGUAAGAC